GACGAACGCUGGCGGCGUGCUUAACACAUGCAAGUCGAACGGAAAGGCCCUGCGUUUGUGGGGUGCUCGAGUGGCGAACGGGUGAGUAACACGUGAGUAACCUGCCCUUGACUGUGGGAUAACUUCAGGAAACUGGGGCUAAUACCGGAUAGGAGCUCCUGCUGCAUGGUGGGGGUUGGAAAGUGUCGGCGGUUGGGGCUGGACUCGCAGCUUAUCAGCUGGUUGGGGGGGUAGUGGCUUACCAAGGGUUUGACGGGUAGCCGGCCUGGGAGGGUGACCGGCCACAUUGGGACUGAGAUACGGACCAGACUCCUACGGGAGGCAGCAGUGGGGAAUAUUGCACAACGGGGGGAAGCCUGAUGCAGCAACGCCGCGUGCGGGAUGACGGCCUUCGGGUUGUAAACCGAUUUCGACUGUGACGAAGCGUGAGUGACGGUAAUGGGUAAAGAAGCAACGGCUAACUACGUG
rnacentral:rRNA from 1 species